UCUCGAUUGGUCUAGUGGUCAGGAUACCUGCUUGUCAUUUAUUUUCAACGACUUAAAAUUCACGAUAAUUGAAAUGAAGCCGUAAAAAAAAAAGCCGCAGGUGGCCGGGGUUCGAUUCCCCGAUCGAGAG